AAAAUGGUGGUUCAGUGGUAGAAUUCUCACCUUCCACUUGGGAGACCUGGGUUCGAUUCCCAGCCAAUGCA
rfam:Loxodonta africana unplaced genomic scaffold scaffold_41, whole genome shotgun sequence.